GCCGACGUAGCUCAACCGGUAGAGCAAGCGCCUUGUAAGCGCGAGGUUGCGGGUUCGAAUCCCGCCGUCGGCU
rnacentral:tRNA from 6 species